GUCGUUACCUCACAGGGAAGAUGUCUUGCUCUCGAAUGUGGUUCACUCAGCUUGAGGCUCAGUCAGUGCACUGUGGCUUUGCUUGACCCCUGCUAAUUCCUUUGAUGCGGCAAUCUUGACUGCAUCAUUUCUGCUAGCGGGGCUCUUCAUUUGCGGCUUUCCCUG